UGGGGAAUAUUGGACAAUGGGGGCAACCCUGAUCCAGCCAUGCCGCGUGAGUGAAGAAGGCCUUAGGGUUGUAAAGCUCUUUCAGUCGUGCCGAUGAUGACGGUAGCGACAGAAGAAGCCCCGGCUAACUCCGUGCCAGCAGCCGCGGUAAUACGGAGGGGGCAAGCGUUGUUCGGAUUUACUGGGCGUAAAGGGCGCGUAGGCGGGGUAUCAAGUUAGGGGUGAAAGCCCGGGGCUCAACCUCGGAACUGCCUUUAAAACUGAUACUCUAGAGUCCGGAAGAGGGUCGCGGAAUUCCCGGUGUAGCGGUGAAAUGCGCAGAUAUCGGGAGGAACACCAGUAGCGAAGGCGGUUCUCUGGGCCGGCACUGACGCUGAGGAGCGAAAGCGUGGGGAGCAAACAGGAUUAGAUACCCCCGUAGUCC
rnacentral:rRNA from 1 species